rnacentral:rRNA from 1 species
GUCGGAUUAGCUAGUUGGUGGGGUAAUGGCCUACCAAGGCGACAAUCCGUAGCUGGUCUGAGAGGACGACCAGCCACACCGGAACUGAGACACGGUCCGGACUCCUACGGGAGGCAGCAGUGGGGAAUAUUGGACAAUGGGGGAAACCCUGAUCCAGCGACGCCGCGUGUGUGAAGAAGGCCUGCGGGUUGUAAAGCACUUUUAGUGGGGACAAAAAGCUACGGAUUAAUACUCUGUGGUCUUGAUUUAACCCAAAGAAAAAGCACCGGCUAACUCUGUGCCAGCAGCCGCGGUAAUACAGAGGGUGCGAGCGUUAAUCGGAAUUACUGGGCGUAAAGCGCGCGUAGACGGUUUUGUAAGUCAGAUGUGAAAUCCCUGGGCUCAACCUGGGAACUGCAUUUGAAACUGCAUGGCUAGAGUAUCGAAGAGGGAAGUGGAAUUUCCGGUGUAGCGGUGAAAUGCGUAGAUAUCGGAAGGAACACCAGUGGCGAAAGCGACUUCCUGGUCGAAUACUGACGUUCAUGUGCGAAAGCGUGGGGAGCA